UCCUACGGGAGGCAGCAGUGGGGAAUAUUGCACAAUGGGCGCAAGCCUGAUGCAGCGACGCCGCGUGAGGGACGAAGGCCUUCGGGUCGUAAACCUCUUUUAGUAGGGAAGAAGCGACUGGGUUUUCCUGGGAGUGACGGUACCUGCAGAAAAAGCACCGGCUAACUACGUGCCAGCAGCCGCGGUAAUACGUAGGGUGCAAGCGUUGUCCGGAAUUAUUGGGCGUAAAGAGCUCAUAGGCGGUUUGUCGCGUCUGCUGUGAAAACCCGAGGCUCAACCUCGGGCCUGCAGUGGGUACGGGCAGACUAGAGUGCGGUAGGGGAGAUUGGAAUUCCUGGUGUAGCGGUGGAAUGCGCAGAUAUCAGGAGGAACACCAAUGGCGAAGGCAGAUCUCUGGGCCGUAACUGACGCUGAGGAGCGAAAGCAUGGGGAGCGAACAGGAUUAGAUACCCUGGUAGUCCAUGCCGUAAACGUUGGGAACUAGAUGUGGGGACCAUUCCACGGUCUCCGUGUCGCAGCUAACGCAUUAAGUUCCCCGCCUGGGGAGUACGGCCGCAAGGCUAAAACUCAAAGGAAUUGACGGGGGCCCGCACAAGCGGCGGAGCAUGCGGUUUAAUUCGAUGCAACGCGAAGAACCUUACCAAGGCUUGACAUAUACCGGAAACGGCUGGAAACAGUCGCCCCGCAAGGUCGGUAUACAGGUGGUGCAUGGUUGUCGUCAGCUCGUGUCGUGAGAUGUUGGGUUAAGUCCCGCAACGAGCGCAACCCUCGUCCUAUGUUGCCAGCACGUAAUGGUGGGAACUCAUGGGAUACUGCCGGGGUCAACUCGGAGGAAGGUGGGGAUGACGUCAAAUCAUCAUGCCCCUUAUGUCUUGGGCUUCACGCAUGCUACAAUGGCCGGUACAAAGGGCUGCGAUACCGCAAGGUGGAGCGAAUCCCAAAAAGCCGGUCUCAGUUCGGAUUGAGGUCUGCAACUCGACCUCACGAAGUCGGAGUCGCUAGUAAUCGCAGAUCAGCAACGCUGCGGUGAAUACGUUCCCGGGCCUUGUACACACCGCC
rnacentral:rRNA from 1 species